UGUUAAAGCGGGCAUCGAUGAAAGGCGUGAUCGCCUCAGGCGGCAGCUUCAGCGAGUAGUUGUUGACGAGCUGCGUCCGGUAACCGUCCGCGGUCAGCUUGUCUUCGUUCUCGAGAAUCUUCUCGGUCGGCGUCGGCGGCACGUAGAGCCGGUAGUCUUCAAGUCCGAUGGGAGCGGCCAGCAGCAGGCGAGACACGCGGGCAGGGUAAGCGCGCGUAAUGCGAACGCCGAGCAUGCCGCC
rnacentral:misc_RNA from 1 species